GUAUUUUGAAUUGUUUAUUCAUAAUAUUUUUCAGACAAAGAGUUAAAGAUAGGUUGAUGUUUGGGGCUGUUCUUGAAAAGACCAGCCCUGACAUUGCACACAAGGUGGAUAUGGAUUUAAAAAAGUGCCAUAAAACACUUAUUAUGAAUGAUCCUUCCGCAGGUUCACCUACGGAAA
rnacentral:misc_RNA from 1 species